AAAGCAGGUCUGCAAUUGCAGCACUUGAUGCCUGUGAAGUGCUGUCAUUAACCCUGCUGACAUUAUUGGUCGGCCUCAGAGCUCGUCAACCUCUUCAUCAUGUCAGGAUGAAGAGGAUGCUCUGUGUCCGAAACAUUG